rnacentral:rRNA from 1 species
GAUGAACGCUGGCGGCGUGCUUAACACAUGCAAGUCGAACGGAAAGGCCCAAGCUUGCUUGGGUACUCGAGUGGCGAACGGGUGAGUAACACGUGGGUGAUCUGCCCUGCACUUCGGGAUAAGCCUGGGAAACUGGGUCUCAUACCGGAUAGGACCACAUUUUGGAUGGUGUGCUGGAAUGUUUUUCGGUGUGGGAUGAGCUCGCGGCCUAUCAGCUUGUUGGUGGGGUAAUGGCCUACCAAGGCGUCGACGGGUAGCAGGCCUGAGAGAGUGUACGGCCACAUUAGGACUGAGAUACGGCCCGGACUCCUACGGGAGGCAGCAUUGGCGAAUAUUGGACAAUGGGCGGAAGCCUGAGGCAGCGACGCCGCGUGGGCGAUGAAGGCCUUCGGGUUGUAAACUCCUUUCGCUAGGGAAGAAGCGUUUUUGUGACGGUACCUGGAGAAGAAGCACCGGCUAACUACGUG